rnacentral:rRNA from 1 species
CCUACGGGAGUCAGCCGUGAGGAAUAUUGGUCAAUGGACGAGAGUCUGAACCAGCCAAGUAGCGUGAAGGAUGACUGCCCUAUGGGUUGUAAACUUCUUUUAUAUGGGAAUAAAAUGUUCCACGUGUGGGAUUUUGUAUGUACCAUAUGAAUAAGGAUCGGCUAACUCCGUGCCAGCAGCCGCGGUAAUACGGAGGAUCCGAGCGUUAUCCGGAUUUAUUGGGUUUAAAGGGAGCGUAGGUGGAUUGUUAAGUCAGUUGUGAAAGUUUGCGGCUCAACCGUAAAAUUGCAGUUGAAACUGGCAGUCUUGAGUACAGUAGAGGUGGGCGGAAUUCGUGGUGUAGCGGUGAAAUGCUUAGAUAUCACGAAGAACUCCGAUUGCGAAGGCAGUUCACUGGACUGCAACUGACACUGAGGCUCGAAAGUGUGGGUAUCAAACAGGAUUAGAUACCCUGGUAGUG